rnacentral:rRNA from 1 species
AAAUUCCUUGUCGGGUAAGUUCCGACCCGCACGAAAGGUGUAACGAUUUGGGCACUGUCUCAACGAGGGACCCGGUGAAAUUGAAAUACCUGUGAAGAUGCAGGUUACCCGCGACUGGACAGAAAGACCCCAUGGAGCUUUACUGUAACCUGACAUUGGGUUUUGAUACAUUACGUACAGGAUAGGUGGGAGGCUUGGAAAGCUGGACGCUAGUCUGGCUGGAGCCGACGUUGGGAUACCACCCUUGAUGUAUUGAAAUUCUAACCGCGAGAGUAACGAAAUCCGGGACAGUGUCAGGCGGGCAGUUUGACUGGGGCGGUCGCCUCCGAAAGAGUAACGGAGGCGCCCAAAGGUUCCCUCAGCGCGGCCGGAAAUCGCGCGAAGAGUGUAAAGGCAGAAGGGAGCUUGACUGCGAGUCAAACACGACGAGCAGGUACGAAAGUAGGGCUUAGUGAUCCGGUGGUACCGAGUGGAAGGGCCAUCGCUCAACGGAUAAAAGCUACCCUGGGGAUAACAGGCUAAUCUCUCCCAAGAGUCCAUAUCGACGGGGAGGUUUGGCACCUCGAUGUCGGCUCAUCACAUCCUGGGGCUGAAGUCGGUCCCAAGGGUUGGGCUGUUCGCCCAUUAAAGUGGUACGUGAGCUGGGUUCAGAACGUCGUGAGACAGUUCGGUCCCUAUCCAUCGCGGGCGCAAGAGAUUUGAAGGGGGCUGCUCCUAGUACGAGAGGACCGGAGUGGACGAACCGCUGGUGUACCAAUUAUCCCGCCAGGGGUACAGUUGGGUAGCUACGUUCGGAAAGGAUAAACGCUGAAAGCAUCUAAGCGUGAAACCAGCCUUAAGAUGAGAUCUCUCAUAGAGCAAUCUAGUAAGACACCUUAAAGAAGAUGAGGUUGAUAGGUCGGGAGUGUAAGUACAGCAAUGUAUUGAGCGGACCGAUACUAAUAUGUCGAGGGCUUGACUUA